rnacentral:rRNA from 1 species
GAGUUAGGGCUUGACAGUACCACCAGAGGAAGCCACGGCUAACUCCGUGCCAGCAGCCGCGGUAACACGGAGAGUGCAAGCGUUGUUCGGAAUUACUAGGCGUAAAGAGCGUGUAGGUGGUUAACUAAGUCGGAUGUGAAAAUCCCAAGCUUAACUUGGAACCUGCAUUCGAAACUGGUUAACUUGAGUGUAGGAGAGGAGAGCGGAAUUCCUAGUGUAGCGGUGAAAUGCGUAGAUAUUAGGAAGAACACCGGUGGCGAAGGCGGCUCUCUGGCCUAAAACUGACACUGAGACGCGAAAGCGUGGGUAGCGAACAGGAUUAGAUACCCUGGUAGUCCACGCCGUAAACGAUGGGCAUUAGGUGUAGGAGGUAUCCAAUCCUUCUGUGCCGAAGUUAACGCAUUAAAUGCCCCGCCUGGGGAGUACGACCGCAAGGUUGAAACUCAAAGGAAUUGACGGGGGCCCGCACAAGCGGUGGAGCAUGUGGUUUAAUUCGAUGCAACGCGAAGAACCUUACCUGGACUUGACAUGUACUCGAAUGUGCCAGAAAUGGUACAGUCCGAAAGGACGGGUGCACAGGUGCUGCAUGGCUGUCGUCAGCUCGUGUCGUGAGAUGUUGGGUUAAGUCCCGCAACGAGCGCAACCCUCAUUCUUAGUUACCAUCAGGUAAUGCUGGGGACUCUAGGAAAAAUGCCCCGGAUAACGGGGAGGAAGGUGAGGACGACGUCAAGUCCGCAUGGCCUUUAUGCCCAGGGCUACACACGUGCUACAAUGGCCUGUACAAAGAGUAGCAAACCCGCGAGGGGGAGCUAAUCUCAAAAACCAGGCCCCAGUUCGGAUUGAAGGCUGCAACUCGCCUUCAUGAAGUCGGAAUCGCUAGUAAUCGUGAAUCAGCACGUCACGGUGAAUACGUUCCCGGGCCUUGUACACACCGCCCGUCGCACCACGAAAAUCAAUUGUACUAGAAGUUGCUGAGUUAACUCCGAUCUUUGAUUGGAGAGACAAGCACCCAAGGUAUGGUUGGUGAUUGGGGUGAAGUCGUAACAAGGUAACCUUAAUUAAAA